AGUGAAACUGUCGGAUCAUAUGGUUAGUAUGUUUAACCAUUUGAGGAACUGCCAGAUUAUUUUCCAAAGUGGCUGCACCAUUUUACAUUUCCACCAGCAGU
rnacentral:pre_miRNA from 1 species